rnacentral:rRNA from 1 species
UACGGAGGAUCCAAGCGUUAUCCGGAUUUAUUGGGCUUAAAGGGUGCGUAGGCGGAAUUGUAAGUCAGUGGUGAAAGCCCUUCGCUUAACGAAGGAACUGCCAUUGAUACUGCAAAUCUUGAGUACAUUUGAUGAGGGCGGAAUGUGUCAUGUAGCGGUGAAAUGCUUAGAUAUGACACAGAACACCGAUUGCGAAGGCAGCUCUCAAAACUGUAACUGACGCUGAGGCGCGAAAGCGUGGGGAGCGAACAGG